CAGUGCUGAACAACCUUGAACCUCAUGUGUUACAACACUUGGUUCACUGGAUAAUACAAGGAGUGUGAUCCAUUUCAGCAGAAGAGAUCAGACUUUUUACUGCACUCAGCUGUGUGUUUGUGCAGAUUUUACUAAUAUUCAAUGAUGGAGCCUCUUGAUCUGGACACAGAUAAUGUUGCCCCAACAUCAAACAACUGUAAACUCCAGGGAAAGAGAUCAGAAUCACCAGCACCCAGCUGUAUCUCCAUGAAGAGUGAUCAGUCAAUGUUUGCGCUUAUGGUUUUUAAAGAUGGAGACUCACUUCUACACAG